rnacentral:rRNA from 1 species
UAGGGAAUAUUGCGCAAUGGACGAAAGUCUGACGCAGCCACGCCGCGUGAGUGAGGAAGGCCUUCGGGUUGUAAAGCUCUGUCAUCUGGGAAAAACGGCUAUCCGGGGAAAGUUCGGGUAGCGUGAUGGUACCAGAGGAGGAAGCACCGGCAAAACUCUGUGCCAGCAGCCGCGGUAAUACAGAGGGUGCAAGCGUGUUCGGAAUUACUGGGCGUAAAGCGUGCGUAGUCGGUAUUGAGAGUCGCGGGUGAAAUCCCAGGGCUUAACCCUGGAACUGCCUGCGAGACCUCAGUACUAGAGUGUGAGAGGGGAUAGUGGAAUACCCAGUGUAGCGGUGAAAAUGCGUAGAGAUUGGGUGGAACACCGGUGGCGAAGGCGGCUAUCUGGCUCACAAACUGACGAUCAGGCACGAAAGCGUGGGGAGCAAAACAGGAUUAGAUACCCUGGUAGUCCACGCCGUAAAACUAUGCAUACAAGCUGUAGUGGGGUUUUACUCCUGCUGUGGCGAAAGCUAAACGCAAUUAGUAUGCCGCCU